rnacentral:lncRNA from 1 species
GUGGGAGCCGUGGAGGGAACUUUCCCAGUCCCCGAGGCGGAUCCGGUGUUGCAUCCUUGGAGCGAGCUGAGAGCUCGAGAACCUGCUAAGGCCAUCAAACCUAUUGAUCGGAAGUCAGUCCAUCAGAUUUGCUCUGGGCCGGUGGUACCGAGUCUAAGCACUGCGGUGAAGGAGUUAGUAGAAAACAGUCUGGAUGCUGGUGCCACUAAUAUUGUAGAGAUAGAGUUUCUCCAUGUUGGUCAGGCUGGUCUCGAACUACUGACCUCAGGUGAUCCGCUCGCUUUGGUCUCCCAAAGUGCUGGGAUUACAGGCAUGAACCACCGCGCCUGGCCCCCGUUCUCCUUACUGGAUCUAAAGCUUAAGGACUAUGGAGUGGAUCUCAUUGAAGUUUCAGGCAAUGGAUGUGGGGUAGAAGAAGAAAACUUCGAAGGCUUAACUCUGAAACAUCACACAUCUAAGAUUCAAGAGUUUGCCGACCUACCUCAGGUUGAAACUUUUGGCUUUCGGGGGGAAGCUCUGAGCUCACUUUGUGCACUGAGUGAUGUCACCAUUUCUACCUGCCAUGUAUCGGCGAAGGUUGGGACUCGACUGGUGUUUGAUCACUAUGGGAAAAUCAUCCAGAAAACCCCCUACCCCCACCCCAGAGGGAUGACAGUCAGUGUGAAGCAGUUAUUUUCUACGCUACCUGUGCACCAUAAAGAAUUUCAAAGGAAUAUUAAGAAGGACUCCUAGAAGUACCCCACCCCACCCCUGCUCCUUGGAGGACAACGUGAUCACUGUAUUCAGCUCUGUCAAGAAUGGUCCAGGUUCUUCUAGAUGAUCUGCACAAAUGGCUCCUCUCCUCCUUCCUGAUGUCUGCCAUUAGCACUGGAAUAAAGUUCCUGC